UACGUAGGGUGCGAGCGUUGUCCGGAAUUACUGGGCGUAAAGAGCUCGUAGGUGGUUUGUCGCGUUGUUCGUGAAAACUCACAACUCAAUUGUGGGCGUGCGGGCGAUACGGGCAGACUGGAGUACUGCAGGGGAGACUGGAAUUCCUGGUGUAGCGGUGGAAUGCGCAGAUAUCAGGAGGAACACCGGUGGCGAAGGCGGUUCUCUGGGCCUUACCUGACGCUGAGGAGCGAAAGCAUGGGGAGCAAACAGG
rnacentral:rRNA from 1 species